rnacentral:rRNA from 1 species
CAGCAGCCGCGGUAAUACGGAGGGUGCUAGCGUUGUUCGGAAUCACUGGGCGUAAAGGGCGCGUAGGCGGCCUGUUAAGUCGGAUGUGAAAGCCCGGGGCUCAACCCCGGAACUGCAUCCGAGACUGGCAGGCUUGAGACCGGGAGAGGAGGGUGGAAUAUCCAGUGUGGAGGUGAAAUUCGUAGAUAUUGGAUGGAACACCGGUGGCGAAAGCGGCUCUCUGGCCCGGAUCUGACGCUGAGGCGCGAAAGCGUGGGGAGCAAACAGGAUUAGAUACCCCCGUAGUCCCUGUCUCUUAUAC